rnacentral:rRNA from 1 species
GACGAACGCUGGCGGCGUGCUUAACACAUGCAAGUCGAACGGAAAGGCCCUGCUUUUGUGGGGUGCUCGAGUGGCGAACGGGUGAGUAACACGUGAGUAACCUGCCCUUGACUUUGGGAUAACUUCAGGAAACUGGGGCUAAUACCGGAUAGGAGCUCCUGCUGCAUGGUGGGGGUUGGAAAGUUUCGGCGGUUGGGGAUGGACUCGCGGCUUAUCAGCUUGUUGGUGGGGUAGUGGCUACCAAGGCUUUGACGGGUAGCCGGCCUGAGAGGGUGACCGGCCACAUUGGGACUGAGAUACGGCCCAGACUCAUACGGGAGGCAGAAGUGGGGAAUAUUGCACAAGGGGCGGAAGCCUGAUGCGGCAACGCCGCGUGCGGGAUGACGGCCUUCGGGUUGUAAACCGAUUUCGCCUGUGACGAAGCGUGAGUGACGGUAAUGGGUAAAGAAGCACCGGCUAACUACGUG